GAUGAACGCUGGCGGCGUGCCUAAUACAUGCAAGUCGAGCGAACGGACGCGAAGCUUGCUUCUCUGAUGUUAGCGGCGGACGGGUGAGUAACACGUGGAUAACCUCCCUAUAAGACUGGGAUAACUUCGGGAAACCGUAGCUAAUACCGGAUAAUAUUUUGAACCGCAUGGUUCAAAAGUGAAAGACGGUCUUGCUGUCACUUAUAGAUGGAUCCGCGCUGCAUUAGCUAGUUGGUAAGGUAACGGCUUACCAAGGCAACGAUGCAUAGCCGACCUGAGAGGGUGAUCGGCCACACUGGAACUGAGACACGGUCCAGACUCCUACGGGAGGCAGCAGUAGGGAAUCUUACGCAAUGGGCGAAAGCCUGACGGAGCAACGCCGCGUGAGUGAUGAAGGUCUUCGGAUCGUAAAACUCUGUUAUUAGGGAAGAACAUAUGUGUAAGUAACUGUGCACAUCUUGACGGUACCUAAUCAGAAAGCCACGGCUAACUACGUG
rnacentral:rRNA from 1 species